rnacentral:tRNA from 1 species
GCGCGAGUGGCGGAAUUGGUAGACGCGCAGCCUUGAGGUGGCUGUACCGCAAGGUGUGGAGGUUCAAGUCCUCUCUCGCGCA